AUACCAGCCCCGCGAGUGGUCGGGGUGAUUAUUGGGCCUAAAGCGCCCGUAGCCGGCCCGGCAAGUCUCCCUCUAAAGCCCUGGGCUCAACCCGGGGAGUGGGGGAGAUACUGCCGGGCUAGGGGGCGGGAGAGGCCGAGGGUACUCCCGGGGUAGGGGCGAAAUCCUAUAAUCCCGGGAGGACCACCAGUGGCGAAGGCGCUCGGCUGGAACGCGCCCGACGGUGAGGGGCGAAAGCCGGGGGAGCGAACCGGAUUAGAUACCCGAGUAGUCC
rnacentral:rRNA from 1 species